UUUGCUUUGUGUUCUGUCUGUGUAAAGUUUACCUUGGAGUCUCAGUGUUGUUACUUUUUUGGAGUUCAGCAUUAAAGCUGUGUUUGAGUUCACGUUUCGUUUCCCCUUAAGAGGAAAGUUAGGCAGUAACAAGCCCAGAACCCAUGAAGAGCUGAGGGACACUCCAUUUUCCAGCCAGAGGGCUGGUGGGGUGCUUACACAAGGCUGCCUUUAACAAGCUGAAUGGAGGGAGGGCAAUGCCAAAGGGAGGAAACACUCCCAGUGCUGAUGUCCCUGUUGCUGUCAUGAAUGUUAAACAACAAUGCUCGUCUAUAUGUUCCAGCAGUGUGGUUAAGCUGUAUUGAUCUCAGAGUAGAGCUGCUGCUCCUGCGUGUCGAAUGGAGCCUGUUGAGGUGGUUCAGCUUUCUCGCCCGGGGACGCCUCGGGAUCCCUCAGGAGGAACUGAAAAGCGUGGCUGGGGAGAAGGACAUCUGGAAUACCCCGCUUAGCCCACUGCCACCACAACCCGACUUUGGAUAAGUGGAAGACAAUGAAUGUUUAUCAGAGUUUGGAAAAUGAUAACAGCUUCCAUUCUUUUGCUUGUUUUUCUCUCUUUCGUAGACACUCAAAGGCUAGACUAGUACCUGAUGAUUAAUUUACCCUGAGAUUUGACUGGCACAUGGCAUUUAUCCUGUGGUGAAACAUUUCUGUACUGAUGAGAAUGCGCUCUUCCAGGAUGACAACACUCCCAUUCAUAGGGUUCAAUGCAUCACUGAAUGGUUUGAGGGAUUUGAAAAUACAUUUUGCAGUCAGACAGUUUUGGACUGAAGUGUACCCUUAUUAAUCAACCACAACCAUAAUAGCUAAUGAGGGAAUAUCACUUGGAAAAUUUAAAUUUUAUUCCUCCCAUAGAGUUCAAUCAACCCUUGUUUUUCUUUCUUUUGUUUUUUGUUUUUUUUUACAUUUCACACUUGCCUGUACCGUGCCAUCAGUUAACCUGGAGCAGAAACACCUUAAUAG